UACGUAGGUGGCAAGCGUUAUCCGGAAUUAUUGGGCGUAAAGAGCGCGCAGGUGGUUGAUUAAGUCUGAUGUGAAAGCCCACGACUUAACCGUGGAGGGUCAUUGGAAACUGGUCGACUUGAGUGCAGAAGAGGGAAGUGGAAUUCCAUGUGUAGCGGUGAAAUGCGUAGAGAUAUGGAGGAACACCAGUGGCGAAGGCGGCUUCCUGGUCUGUAACUGACACUGAGGCGCGAAAGCGUGGGGAGCAAACAGGAUUAGAUACCCGGGUA
rnacentral:rRNA from 1 species